rnacentral:rRNA from 1 species
GACGAACGCUGGCGGCGUGCUUAACACAUGCAAGUCGAACGGAUCACAUUGCUUCGGUUUUGUGGUGAGUGGCGAACGGGUGAGUAACACGUGAGUAACCUGCCCCCUUCUUUGGGAUAACGUCGGGAAAUCGGCGCUAAUACUGGAUAUUCUGGUUUCCUCGCAUGGGGUUUCUGGGAAAGGUUUUCUGGUGGGGGAUGGGCUCGCGGCCUAUCAGCUUGUUGGUGGGGUGAUGGCCUACCAAGGCGGUGACGGGUAGCCGGCCUGACGAGGGUGUCCGGCCACACUGGGACUGAGACACGGCCCAGACUCCUACGGGAGGCAGCAGUGGGGAAUAUUGCACAAUGGGCGCAAGCCUGAUGCAGCGACGCCGCGUGAGGGAUGACGGCCUCGGUUGUAACCGUCUUUCUAGUUACAGAACAAGGACCGUCGGUUCGGUAGGGUAGUGUGUCGAGAGAAGACGCCGGCGUACGUACGUAGCCACGCGAGCCGCGGUAAACGGUAACGUAGCGUCGAGCGGC